GUUCUAAUAAUUUAAUAAAAAUUUUAAAAUGCAAUUUUAAAAAUGAAUCAUUAUUCUUAGAAUU
rnacentral:tRNA from 1 species